rnacentral:rRNA from 1 species
UCCUACGGGAGGCAGCAGUGGGGAAUUUUCUGCAAUGGGCGAAAGCCUGACAGAGCAAUACCGCGUGAGGGAUGACAGUCCUAUGGAUUGUAAACCUCUUUUUUCAGGGAGGAAGUUCUGACGUUACCUGAAGAAUAAGCAUCGGCUAACUCCGUGCCAGCAGCCGCGGUAAUACGGAGGAUGCAAGCGUUAUCCGGAAUGAUUGGGCGUAAAGCGUCCGCAGGUGGCAAUUCAAGUCUGCGGUUAAAGGUUCUGGCUCAACCAGAGACAGGCCGUGGAAACUGAAUAGCUAGAGUAUGGUAGGGGCAGAGGGAAUUCCCAGUGUAGCGGUGAAAUGCGUAGAGAUUGGGAAGAACACCGGUGGCGAAAGCGCUCUGCUAGGCCAAAACUGACACUGAGGGACGAAAGCUAGGGGAGCGAAUGGGAUUAGAUACCCCAGUAGUCCUAGCCGUAAACGAUGGAUACUAGGUGUAGCUUGUAUCGACCCAAGCUGUGCCGUAGCUAACGCGUUAAGUAUCCCGCCUGGGGAGUACGCGCGCAAGCGUGAAACUCAAAGGAAUUGACGGGGGCCCGCACAAGC